CUGGUCAAUCUAGUGGCGAACGGGUGAGUAACACGUGGGUAACCUGCCCAUCAGAGGGGGAUAACAUUCGGAAACGGAUGCUAAAACCGCAUAGGUCUUCGAACCGCAUGGUUUGAAGAUCGAAAAGAGGCGCAAGCUUCUGCUGAUGGAUGGACCCGCGGUGCAUUAGCUAGUUGGUGAGGUAACGGCUCACCAAGGCCGUGAUGCAUAGCCGACCUGAGAGGGUGAUCGGCCACAUUGGGACUGAGACACGGCCCAAACUCCUACGGGAGGCAGCAGUAGGGAAUCUUCCGCAAUGGACGCAAGUCUGACGGAGCAACGCCGCGUGAGUGAAGAAGGUUUUCGGAUCGUAAAACUCUGUUGUUAGAGAAGAACAAGUGCUAGAGUAACUGUUAGCGCCUUGACGGUAUCUAACCAGAAAGCCACGGCUAACUACGUGCCAGCAGCCGCGGUAAUACGUAGGUGGCAAGCGUUGUCCGGAUUUAUUGGGCGUAAAGCGAGCGCAGGCGGUUCCUUAAGUCUGAUGUGAAAGCCCCCGGCUCAACCGGGGAGGGUCAUUGGAAACUGGGGGACUUGAGUGCAGAAGAGGAGAGUGGAAUUCCAUGUGUAGCGGUGAAAUGCGUAGAUAUAUGGAGGAACACCAGUGGCGAAGGCGACUCUCUGGUCUGUAACUGACGCUGAGGCUCGAAAGCGUGGGUAGCAAACAGGAUUAGAUACCCUGGUAGUCCACGCCGUAAACGAUGAGUGCUAAGUGUUGGAGGGUUUCCGCC
rnacentral:rRNA from 1 species